GGGUGUUGAUGAAAGUGAAAUCCGUGAUGAGCUUAAGAAGAUGAUGAAGAUUGAUUUGUGGUCUUGGCUUGAGGUUGUGAAGGGGAUACUUUGAUUCAGCUGAACUGGUGUGCUGGUGGUGUUGAUCGGGAGGUGUUGUAUCUAGAGAUGGCAGGUUUGGUGAACAGAUGUUGGAAGUGGAGUUGAACUGUGGAUGUGGUUGAUAUGGGAUGCAGUUGAGUUGUAGUUGAAGAUUAUGAAUGAGCUGUUGGGGUUCAUGUUACAGCUUUGCGAAGUAAGAAUUGCAAAGUAAGAAUAUCUGUUGCAAAGUAAGAAAAUUCAUCGUCUUUGGAACAUCUGAAUUUCAUAUUUCAUACAUCGAAUGGCUUGGCUUCAAUGACGAGGGGAUGAAGAUGGCAGCCAACAACAACAAAUCUGGGUUCUGAAUCGAAAUUGGGGAUUUCUGGAGCUGAUAAACAUCAAAAGAUCUGGUUCUUCUUCGUUAUGAACUAUUACUACUGAAUUCUUUAUGCAACCUAUACGAACCCUAGAUAGUAACUCGAACUUCUUAAUCGAAAGUAUUGAAUUCAAAUUCGAGCGCCAUGACCUGAUUCUCUCUUAUUCUAAUCAGGGGUUCCUCCUGUUCACGGUGUUCGAUUUAGGCAAGAUAAUUGCAACGACUAAUGCUGUUUGAACCAAUCUCCGUGCAUAAUUUUACGAGGAACAUUGAUGGGGUUAAUAGAUUUCCUAUAAGAAAUUCUAUUGAAGCAAAUCUAUUCUAGGUUUGAAAAAGAGACAGGAGAACACGAGGAAUAGUGUUAUGCAGCUUAUAUCCUUCGGAACUAGCAUAUUUGUCUCUCCUGUGGAUUUCUGAGAGUUGCUGCUGUGACGAGUUUUGCAGGUGUUGGAUGAUCUCAUAGGAGGAAGAAGAUUCGUGAUAAAUCAAAACAAAUUGGCAGAGAAAAAUCCAGCCUCUUAAGAGAUUGUCGUAUCUGCUUAAUGUAAUUGUUGUUGUUGUUGAGGGUUUCAAUGGGGCUCAUCUUCGAAAUAUCUGCACUUAAGCUGGGAUGUUUGCAAUCUCUGUCUUUUGAUUUCGAGACAAAAAGGGUUUCGAACUAUCAACACUGCCAGCACUAUAUCCUGUCUCGAGUAGGGCAGCAGGUGAAUCAUUGUUGCUUACUGUUAAACAUGCAAAAACUCAUAAUUGUAUUGCUAACUGUUAAGCUGUCAUAGAUAAUUACGCAGACGAUGAUUUGCAUAAGAGAUGGGUAUAUGUUGAAAAUAAAUCCUUUUUUUCCCUUCUUUUCUUUUGAUUUUUAUACAUUAGUUUUAUCUUUUUGCUGAAGUCAUAUUUAGUCGAGUAUUUAAAUCAUUUUACAUGUAGCUUUUGACAGCUGUAGGUAGAAAAUCUUCACCAUCGAUUAGUAAUUAUAAUUGGCCGAAGUAUAAUAUUUAACAGAAUCAUACAAAUUGAUGCUUCAUCGUGUUCACGACCAGCAACACUGGUUCACCUGUGUCUAAUUAAUGCUUCACACAAAUUGAUGCUACCGGUGAUGCUGUGAUGAUGGUGAAUGCAGUUUUGGAGCUCGAAAGAAAGGUGGGGUUCUUAGCUGUGGUUGGCCGCAGCGGACUAAGAUGAAGAUAUUCUGAGGUCGUAAGAAAACGGAGAUGGAAAAGGAAGAUGAGAGUAACGAAUCAGUGGUGCUGCUGCCAUUUAUUCUCGAUACUCGAGUUUGAGUUCACAGGGAAGUUGAAAUGACAAGAUUGCGUUUGCUGUGGUAAUGAAAGAUUAAGCUGUGCUGACUAUGAAACUCUAUGCCAAUGGCAGUGAUGAGACUGAACGGCAGAUUGAUGGCUGCAACGAUGAAGCUAAAAAUAGGUAUCCAUUGGCCUGUUGAGUUUCUGCUGCUCAAGUCGUAUACAUAGAGAAGUUUGAAUAGGAAAGUGAUCAGUCAAGAGAACCAGCAAGCUGGAGAUUGAUGAAAAUAGCAGCUCGAGAAGGAAACAGAAGUUGUAUAAUCUGUUGCCGAUGAUGACUAUGAAAGCCUGAGAAUGUGACAAGGUUACACUGUCAGUUCCAGAUGACUAACGAUCAACUUACAAAGUGGGCUGGAUCUUGACAGUUGAAUGCGAGCCCAAUAGGCUAUUAGCCAUUAUAUUUUACACAAACAGAAUUUAUUUUAUUGAGCCGACUCCAUGAUUUUAUAACCAAAUGGACAUCAGGUGGUUUUCCAACGGAAGUUAUGGAUAUAAAAUGUAACAAAGCUCAAGGAUUUUCUGUUUUUGUGGUCAUUGUAUUUGUGUGUUAUUUGACCAAGUAGGUGUUACCAGCCAAUACUCAAAUCUAAUCAGUUCUCUA